CUGCUCAAUGAAAAUUUUUAAAUAGCUGCAGUAUUAAUGACUGUACAAAGGUAGCAUAAUAAUUAGAUUUUUAAUUGAAAUCUAGAAUGAAAGAUUAAAUGAAAUAUACGCUGUCUCAUAAUAAAAAAUUAAAUUUAUUAUUUAAGUUAAAAAACUUAAAUAAACUUAAAAGACGAGAAGACCCUAUAGAAUUUUAUAAUUAUUAUUUAAAAAUAUUUAAAUUUUAAAUUAUUUUUAAACAAAAUUAUUUAAUUGGGGCAAUUUUAAAAUUCAAUAAACUUUUAAUUUAACAAACAUUAAUCUAUGAAUUUUUAAUCUAAUAAUAUUAAUUAAAAAAAUUAAUUACCUUAGGGAUAACAGCAUAAUUUUUUUUAAUAGUUCUCAUAUAAAAAAAAGUUUAUGACCUCGAUGUUGAAUUAAGAUAAAAUUUAAAAGAAAAAAUUUAAAAUUUUAAGUCUGUUCGACU
rnacentral:rRNA from 1 species